UACGUAGGUGGCGAGCGUUGUCCGGAUUUACUGGGCGUAAAGGGAGCGUAGGCGGACUUUUAAGUGAGAUGUGAAAUACCCGGGCUCAACUUGGGUGCUGCAUUUCAAACUGGAAGUCUAGAGUGCAGGAGAGGAGAAUGGAAUUCCUAGUGUAGCGGUGAAAUGCGUAGAGAUUAGGAAGAACACCAGUGGCAAAGGCGAUUCUCUGGACUGUAACUGACGCCGAGGCUCGAAAGCGUGGGGAGCAAACAGGAUUAGAUACCCUGGUA
rnacentral:rRNA from 1 species